GCCUAAAGCGUCCGUAGCCGGCUUUGUAAGUUUUCGGUUAAAUCUAUAUGCUCAACAUAUAGGCUGCCGGGAAUACUGCAAAGCUAGGGAGUGGGAGAGGUAGACGGUACUCCGUAGGAAGGGGUAAAAUCCUUUGAUCUAUGGAUGACCACCUGUGGCGAAGGCGGUCUACCAGAACACGUUCGACGGUGAGGGAUGAAAGCUGGGGGAGCAAACCGGAUUAGAUACCCGGGUAGUCCCAGCUGUAAACUAUGCAAACUCAGUGAUGCAUUGGCUUGUGGCCAGUGCAGUGCCGCAGGGAAGCCGUUAAGUUUGCCGCCUGGGAAGUACGUACGCAAGUAUGAAACUUAAAGGAAUUGGCGGGGGAGCACCACAAGGGGUGAAGCCUGCGGUUUAAUUGGAGUCAACGCCAGAAAUCUUACCCGGAGAGACAGCAGGAUGAAGGUCAAGCUGAAGACUUUACCAGACAAGCUGAGAAGUGGUGCAUGGCCGUCGCCAGCUCGUGCCGUGAGGUGUCCUGUUAAGUCAGGUAACGAGCGAGAUCCUUGCCUCUAGUUGCCACCAUUACUCUCAGGAGUAGUGGGGCGAAUUAGCGGGACUGCCGUAGUUAAUACGGAGGAAGGAGAGGGCCACGGCAGGUCAGUAUGCCCCGAA
rnacentral:rRNA from 1 species